rnacentral:rRNA from 1 species
UACGAAGGGGGCUAGCGUUGCUCGGAAUCACUGGGCGUAAAGGGUGCGUAGGCGGGUCUUUUAAGUCAGGGGUGAAAUCCUGGAGCUCAACUCCAGAACUGCCUUUGAUACUGAGGAUCUUGAGUUCGGGAGAGGUGAGUGGAACUGCGAGUGUAGAGGUGAAAUUCGUAGAUAUUCGCAAGAACACCAGUGGCGAAGGCGGCUCACUGGCCCGGUACUGACGCUGAGGUGCGAAAGCGUGGGUAGCGAACAGG